rnacentral:rRNA from 1 species
CCUACGGGGGGCAGCAGUGGGGGAUAUUGCACAAUGGGGGAAACCCUGAUGCAGCGACGCCGCGUGGGUGAAGAAGCGCCUCGGCGCGUAAAGCCCUGUCAGCCGGGAAGCAAAUGACGGUACCUGAAGCAGAAGCCCCGGCUAACUACGUGCCAGCAGCGGCGGUGAUAAGUAGGGGGCAAGCGUUAUCCGGAUUUACUGGGCGUAAGGGGGGCGCAGACGGCGAUGCAAGCCAGGCGUGAAAGCCCGGGGCCCAACCCCGGGACUGCCCUUGGAACUGCGUGGCGAGAGUGCAGGAGGGGCAGGCGGAAUGCCUGGUGUAGCGGUGAAAUGCGUAGAUAUCAGGAGGAACACCGGUGGCGAAGGCGGCCUGCUGGACUGCAACUGACGUUGAGGCCCGAAAGCGUGGGGAGCAAACAGGAUUAGAUACCCCUGUAGUC